UUUUUUAGUUUUCUGGCGAGAAGGGAGAAAAAACUGAUCAAAUAAGUAGAAGUGCGGCCGUUGCAAAUAUUCCAGUCUCAGCUCCAUUAGGCACUAGCUUUACGCUAUCAGACUAUUCAUACUGCCGUUAUUAUGGCGUUGCCUUUCUCUAUUAAUCUUUUUCUUCGUUUUUUCUGAUCUUUUGCCUUGGCUUUUGUUUCUUCCAAUUUAUUCCUCGCUCUGUUUCUUAUCGGAUGCCGUACGCCUUCUAUGUUUUUCCAGAUCAUCGAGUAAGUUCUCGACAGCCCGACGUAUGCUCAGAUUUCGAUCAACAACGCGCUUAUGUAUGAAUACAGGUUUCCUCGAUCUACACUUCUAGUCUUUGUUUACUGCAGCGGCUUGGGUGGAUUCUUCAUUUAAUAAUUUAAUCUUGCGGAAAUUAUAUGCAGAUUUCAUCUUUUAUUCGGUAAAAAACCAUGUAACUGUAGGUUCUUUGAAAAAAGAACAAAAGGGAAUUUCUGUAAACUAAACGAGAAUAAUCUGGAAUUUUUUUACUUUUUUUAUUUCUGUUGAGAAAAAUAAUCACCACUUCGUGUUCAAUUUUUUUUUAAAAAAAGUUGUUACAACGUAUAUAUCGGGUUAAACAUUUAGAGAAUAUACUAUUCAUUUUCCUUUUUUGUAAAGGAAAAACAAAUUAUAAAUCCAAGUCUUGGUUGUUGAUCCUCUUUAAGAUAAGAAUAGCGCGCGAUCGUGAACAAUCACGCCCGGCUAUGAAUCUGAAAACGUUGGGUAAUCGCGCGAUUGGCUCGGUGGCGCUUGUGGAAUGGGUCACGUUAGCCGACUGACAAUUUAAUAAAAACGCCGCCCACUUUGCUUUAGCUCCACGCAAUCCUGUCUAUAUAUAAAGGUGGUGCUCUCGUUUUAUACCUUUGGCAGCAGUCCGUUGCAAGAAGCCCAAACCUAUAUGAUGUGUCCUUUUCUAUUGUCUCGUUUUCGGUAUUCAAAGGACCCUUCAAAACGACAUUUUAGUUUGCGUAGAAGGUCCAAGAUAAAGAUUAAUUCAGCAAAAUAUACGAGGAAGAGACUUGGAAGGUUGAAAGUGGAGGAAAAGAUCAACAAAGAGCAGCAAAGCAUCAAGGAAGGGCAAAGUCAAGUUCGAGCAAAAUUUAAUUCCAUCGAGGAAGAAUACAAACAGCUUCGCAAUGAAACUAACCAAAUUAUCCAACAAACCGCCAACACUCAAUCCGACUCGGCCUGAUGUUCAGUAUCCUCAAGGCAAGAGAACAAGGUGAUCUCGGCAAGGCUGCUCAAUUCACUCGACUCCUCCGUGAAAUUGUGGGCAGAAAUAAUUACUGCAAAAGUGAACCAUAGCUGCCUUAGUAUUUCAAAAGUAAACAUCAACAAUUCAUUCCGUACUGAUAUGCAGGGCCAAUCUAUCGUGUAGAUCAAUUUCCUUUGUUUUGAUUAGAUUUUAAGUCUACUAAUUAACGAACUAAAUGUGUGGUGGGGUUAAUCUUAUUUAAAUUUCGUGAUUGUAUUAUAUAUUUUUCAUCUUUGUAUUUUGUGUUUGUUAAUCGAGACGUAUCGACUUGAA